GCCUAAUUGUGAUUUGUUUGUUGUUUGACGCUCUUCGGCCGAUGGCAUUUGAUGUGUUGGAUAUUACAAAACAGCAGCCGAACAGUACACAUCUACGCAUUCCAUGGAGUGUUUUUCCAGACUUGUGGUUGGACAAGCAGCAAGAUUUGAAUCUUCAAACAGAAACAUCUGGGCCUGACAUGAAGCUGACUCAACAGUGUCCCAACAGCUGAUGUAAUGCUGGCCUGCUGCAGAAUGUGUUUGCAUUGAAGGGGGCGAUAGACCAAAGGACACACUGAAGGGAAAAAAAAAAGUCUUGACAUAGGAAAGUCCGAGGCGCCACACAGAUCUGAACAGAUCUUCCAAUGAAACUCAAAACAGUCUGACGAGUAGUUAAACCUACAGGAAACAGUAGCUCUUCAGCAUUUAUGUGGCUCAUUAUUGAGCUCUGUUCACCUUAGGACAUUUCACACGUCAUACACAACAACUAACCCUCGCUAACAUGGACACAUGUCUGCACACAUAUCUGAACUUGAGUUUAGGAGUUGUACUGAGAUUAAAUGUAAUAAUCCUAAUGUAGUGACAAAUUAAACACAACCAUCUUUAAUAUAUCAAUGUGUUGAAUAGAUGUAAUUUUGAGGAGACCUAAAGGGAGAAUCCAAAUUCAAUUCAUAUAUUUGAGCUGAGCUAACAAACAUGAUGCAUUAUUUGAGUUGGAAUUAGGAAAGCAUACUGUAGGUUUUUUCUCUUUAUACUCUAUUAAUAGGUAGCAUUGUGGAAUAAGGCCCCCUAAUUAACAUUAAAUGUAUUAACUAAUGUUAGCCAACAAUGCACAAUAAAUUUAUUCAGUAUUUAUUAACUGAGAUUACUGAUAGUAGUUAAUGAAUUCAGUGAUUUAUAACUGUUAAUUAAUGUUAGCUUUGGUUCAUUGAGUUACGUUUAUAAAUAAAUUAUUUAAAUCUAAA
rnacentral:lncRNA from 1 species